GCAUUCGUAGUGCAGUGGUUAGCACAUCUGCUUCCCAUUCACGGUUCAAGCAGGGGGUCGCGGGUUCAAUCCCCGCCGGAUGCA
rfam:Ascochyta rabiei strain ArDII scaffold_381, whole genome shotgun sequence.